CGGGAAACUGGGGACAAUACCGGAUAUAUGGGGCUGCCUGGAAUGGUGCCCCAUUGAAAUGCUCCGGCGCCUAAGGAUGGAUCUGCGGCAGAUUAGGUAGUUGGCGGGGUAAAUGCCCACCAAGCCAGUAAUCUGUACGGGUUGUGAGAGCAAGAGCCCGGAGAUGGAACCUGGGGCAAAGUUCCAGGCCCUAAGGGGCCGCAGCAGGCGCGAAACCUCCGCAAUGGAAGCAAUCGCGACGGGGGAAACCCAAGUGCCACUCUUAACGGGGUGGCUUUUCUGAAGUGUAAAAAGCUUCAGGAAUAAGAGCUGGGCAAGACCGGUGCCAGCCGCCGCGGUAACA
rnacentral:rRNA from 1 species